ensembl:snRNA U6 U6 spliceosomal RNA
GUACUUGCUUUGGCAGCACAUAUACUAAAUUUGGACCGAUACAGAGAAGAUUAGCAUGGUCCCUGCACAGGAUGACAUGCAAAUUCAUGAAGCGUUCCAUAUUUUG